rnacentral:rRNA from 2 species
UCAAGUUAUUAAGGGUGCAGGGCGGAUGCCUUGGCACUAGGAGCCGAUGAAGGACGUGAUAAGCUGCGAUAAGCUUCGGGGAGUUGCACGUAAACUUUGAUCCGAAGAUUUCCGAAUGAGGAAACUCACUUAGAGUAAUGUCUAAGUAUCAUUAAGUGAAUACAUAGCUUAAUGAGGGGAACUCAGGGAACUGAAACAUCUAAGUACCUGAAGGAAGAGAAAGAAAUUCGAUUCCGUAAGUAGCGGCGAGCGAACGCGGAUUAGCCCAAACCAAUAAAGUUUUCUUUAUUGGGGUUGCGGACAUAUCAUAACGAAGAGGUAUCGUAAUUGAAGAGGUUUGGAAAGACCCACCACAGAAGGUAAUAGUCCUGUAUGUUAAACGAGAAGACUUUAGAUAUGAUCCAGAGUACCACGGGACACGUGAAACCCUGUGGGAAGCAGGAGGGACCACCCUCCAAGGCUAAAUACUACCUAGUGACCGAUAGCGUAUAGUACCGUGAGGGAAAGGUGAAAAGAACCCCGGGAGGGGAGUGAAAUAGAACCUGAAACCCUGCACUUACAAGCUGUGGAAGCACAUUUCUUGUGUGACCGCGUACUUUUUGUAGAACGGGCCAACGAGUUACGUUAAGUAGCAAGGUUAAGCACUUAAGGUGUGGAGCCGUAGCGAAAGCGAGUUUUAACUGAGCGUUCAGUUACUUGACGUAGACCCGAAACCGGGCGACCUACCCAUGAGCAGGAUGAAGCGAAAGUAAAAUUUCGUGGAGGUCCGAACCCACGAGCGUUGAAAAGCUCGGGGAUGACUUGUGGGUAGCGGUGAAAUUCCAAUCGAGCCCGGAGAUAGCUGGUUCUCCCCGAAAUAGCUUUAGGGCUAGCCUCAAGGUGAGAGAUACGGAGGUAGAGCACUGAAUGUCCUAGGGGGUAUUGCACCUACCGAAGACUAUCAAACUCCGAAUGCCGUCAUCUUAUACUUGGGAGUCAGACUGUGGGUGAUAAGAUUCAUAGUCGAAAGGGCAACAGCCCAGAUCGUCAGCUAAGGUCCCUAAAUGUAAGUUAAGUGGUAAAGGAUGUGGGAUUGCACAGACAACCAGGAUGUUGGCUUAGAAGCAGCCACUCAUUCAAAGAGUGCGUAAUAGCUCACUGGUCGAGUGAUCCUGCGCCGAAGAUUUCCGGGGCUAAAACUUACUACCGAAGCUACGGCAUCAGUAAUGAUGGGUAGGGGAGCUUCCCAUACGGGUUGAAGCAUGACCGUAAGGACAUGUGGACAGUAUGGGAGUGAGAAUGUUGGCAUGAGUAGCGAGAUGUGGGUGGGAAUCCCACAGGCCGUAAACCCAAGGUUUCCAGGGGAAGGUUCGUCCGCCCUGGGUUAGUCGGGACCUAAGCUGAGGCCGAAAGGCGUAGGUGAUGGACAACAGGUUGAUAUUCCUGUACUACCGAUAACCAUUUGAGAGAAGGGAUGACACAGUAGGAUAAGCUAAGCACACUGUUGGUUAUGUGUGCCCAAGCAUUGAGGCAGUCAAAGUAGGCAAAUCCGCUUUGAUAAUGCUGGGAUGUGAUGGGGAGCGAAAUUUAGUAGCGAAGUAGCUGAUUUCACACUGUCAAGAAAAGUCUCUAUCGAGGUUAAAGGUACCCGUACCGCAAACCGACACAGGUGGGUGAGGAGAGUAUCCUAAGGCCAGCGAGAGAACUGUUGUUAAGGAACUCGGCAAAAUGACCCCGUAACUUAGGGAUAAGGGGUGCCACCAUCAGGUGGCCGCAGAGAAUAGGCCCAAGCGACUGUUUACCAAAAACAUAGGUUUCUGCUAAGUCGCAAGACGAUGUAUAGGAGCUGACGCCUGCCCGGUGCUGGAAGGUUAAGGGGAUCUGUUAGAGCAAUCGAAGCAGUGAACUUAAGCCCCAGUAAACGGCGGCCGUAACUAUAACGGUCCUAAGGUAGCGAAAUUCCUUGUCGGGUAAGUUCCGACCCGCACGAAAGGCGUAACGAUUUGGGCACUGUCUCAACAACAGACUCGGUGAAAUUGUAAUUCCGGUGAAGAUGCCGGAUACCUGCGACAGGACGGAAAGACCCCAUGGAGCUUUACUGUAGCUUGACAUUGGGUCUUGGUACUACAUGUACAGGAUAGGUGGGAGGCUUUGAAACCAGGACGCCAGUUUUGGCGGAGCCAUCCUUGGGAUACCACCCUUGUAGUACUGGGACUCUAACCAUAGGCCAUGAAUCUGGUCUUGGGACACUGUCAGGUGGGCAGUUUGACUGGGGCGGUCGCCUCCCAAAAGGUAACGGAGGCGCUCAAAGGUUCUCUCAGUACGGUCGGAAAUCGUACGUAGAGUGUAAAGGCAAAAGAGAGCUUGAUUGCAAGACAUACAGGUCGAGCAAGGAUGAAAAUCGGACUUAGUGAUCCGGUGGUUCUGCGUGGAAGGGCCAUCGCUCAACGGAUAAAAGCUACCCUGGGGAUAACAGGCUUAUCUCCCCCAAGAGUCCACAUCGACGGGGAGGUUUGGCACCUCGAUGUCGGCUCAUCACAUCCUGGGGCUGUAGUAGGUCCCAAGGGUUGGGCUGUUCGCCCAUUAAAGUGGUACGCGAGCUGGGUUCAGAACGUCGUGAGACAGUUCGGUCCCUAUCCGUCGCAGGCGUAGGAAAUUUGAGAAGACCUGUCCUUAGUACGAGAGGACCGGGAUGGACGUACCUCUGGUGUACCAGUUGUUCUGCCAAGGGCAUGGCUGGGUAGCUAUGUACGGAAUGGAUAAGCGCUGAAAGCAUCUAAGCGCGAAGCCAACUUCAAGAUAAGAUUUCCCACCGCAAGGGUAAGACCCCAGAAAGACUAUCUGGUUGAUAGGUCGAAGGUGUAAGUGCAGCAAUGUAUUUAGCUUAUCGAUACUAAUAGGUCGAGGACUUGACCAA